rfam:Lupinus angustifolius cultivar Tanjil contig_13080, whole genome shotgun sequence.
ACCACUCAGCCUUUUGGCUAAGAUCAAGUGUAGUAUUUGUUCUUAUCAGUUUAAUAUCUGAUAUAUGGGUCAAUGGCCCACACGAUAUUAAAUUACUUUUUUAAAGGGAAGUCCAUCACAGUAGCUUGCUAUUAGGCCUCUCACGUGUGGCAUAAGCGUUGUACUAAAGCUUGGGCCUGACACGCCCUUU